rnacentral:misc_RNA from 1 species
UUGCAUGAAUUGCAGUUGUAUGUUAAACUAAGAAGUUUGAAUUUUAGGUUCACUUGUAGCUUUAUGUUUGAAUGUUUUCGUGCCUGAAGACUGGAAUCUGGACUCUGGACCUAGGAAAAGGUUUUUGUAUUUUUUUGGUAGGAGAGGACUCGAACUUUGGUUGACUGGGUGAGAUCACGGACUGCAAUUAUCUUAGCUGCCUUUGUAUUCACUUUGAUAAUGCAGCCAGCGG